UUUCCGUAGGUGAACCUGCGGAAGGAUCAUUAAAGAGAAUAUGCCCUUCGGGGUAGAUCUCCCACCCUUUGUUUAUAUUACCUUUGUUGCUUUGGCAGGCCCGUCUUCGGACCACCGGCUUCGGCUGGUCAGUGCUUGCCAGAGGACGCAAAACUCUUAUUAUUAAUGUCGUCUGAGUACUAUAUAAUAGUUAAAACUUUCAACAACGGAUCUCUUGGUUCUG
rnacentral:misc_RNA from 1 species